AUCGCCAAAGACGUUUGGCAUAAAUCUGCCCAUAAGGCCUCUCACCGGCUAUCCUUUCUCCCCACGUCCUUGUUCAGGUUAGACUCCAAUAACUCCCCUUUUCUUUCAUGACCUCCUAAGCUUACUGAAUCGGGGCUCUGCAACUAAAGGGCUUUUCCUAUAGAUGAGCCAGGUGGGCUGGAAUGGAUUACAGCCCCAGCUCCAGCCCCAGCCUCUGGAUCUCAAUGGACUGUCGCUGUCUGUGGUACAUGUAGGAACGGUGUAUUCAAGAAGAGACGAGCCCUUUACACUUAAUACCCAGUAGGCUCAGCUCCAGCACCCCCACAGCCAGGAAGGGAAUGGCAAGAAUUAGAUCCAAUUCUCCAGUCUUGUUGGCCAAGCCAAAGAAAUUCCUAGUAAAGCUGCGAGGAGACGCCCAGUCAACAAUAAAGCCCGAAGCCAGUAGUGCCCAAGCCUCACCCCACUUGUAAUCCAAGUCUGAGAAAUCAGACCCAGAUUUUGGUCAAGGGCGGAGUACAUCCCUCCUCAGACAGAAGGGGAAGUUUAGGAACAGAAGAGAUCAAACACGAUUAAUACACUUAUUCGACAGGC